UUCAGUGAUGAUAACUGCUGCAUAGGAAGUGCCGUCUGAUGCGAUAACUGACGUUGAAAUAGCUGUUCUGAGA